ACAGGAAAUCGUAGGCUGACUAGCUAGCAUCGUUGUUGAAGUGUCUAGCAAGAUAUUAAAAGUGUGUGUAUUAGACAUUAUUCUUUCCUUUAAGAACAAUUAGGUUUGUAUUUUUCAUCUUAACGUUUUACCCAAACUCUCACCUGACUCACUAUAGGAUAGUGAGGCAGGGAUUUUCACAUAUCGGAAGGUCUGUUAGCAUUCCGCUUAGCAUGCAACACACACGCAUGCCAUGGAAUUUCGUGGUUGCUUGGAUUGUUUGAACGAAUAUGCUGUAAUUCCGUGAUUGUCAGACAUGUUCAGAACUGGGAGUGACAGCAUCAUGCAUGUAUCCUGAACAUUAUUGGAUUACUGUAUAUCGUAUGUCAGAACAGAGAUGGGUGUGAAGGGUUUGCAGUCUUUCACUGAACAGUGCUGUCAAGAGGGCUGUAUGCCAGUGCACCUCCGAGAACUGGCCAGCCAGCAUGUCAGGAAUCAACCCUCAACAAGUGACCCCAAUCCUCCUACACUAGUGGUGGACGGUAUGGCCUGUGUGAGGCAGUGGUACAGCUGUCCAGCCUGGGUCCAUGGGGGCCAGUGGAAGCAUUUUCUCCAUCUGCUGAAGGAGUGGGUGGGGGCCUUCACGUCUGCAGGGAUCCGCUUAGUAUUCUUCUUUGAUGGUGUAGUGGAGGAACAGAAGAGGGCAGAGUGGAUAAAGCGGAGGCAGAGGGUAAACAGGGACAUUUCUAGACUGUUCACCCAUGUGAAGAGGCAGGGGCAGCAGCCAGGCCGGGACUUGUUCUGUCUGCCCUCGGCACUGUCCACCUUCUCCCUCUUUGCUCUGCGCUCCCUGGGCCAACAGGUCCACUGUUCUGUACGAGAGGCUGACUAUGAGAUUGCUACCUUCGCCCUUCAGCAGAAUUGCAUGGGCAUACUAGGCCAGGACUCUGACUUUCUCAUCUAUGACAGUGCCCCCUACUUGUCAGUCAACAAGCUGCGUCUUGACCGCAUGACCACGAUGAUGUACUCCAGAGACUGCCUCUGCCACACCCUCCAACUGCACAUGGCAGAGCUCCCGCUCCUGGCGUGUCUCCUUGGAAACGAUGUGGUGCCAGAAGCAAGGAUGCAGCAUGUGCGUAGCAGAGCCCUGGCGAUCUACCGGAAGACGCAUCCGUGCUCUGAUCUGCCACUGAGGGAGAAGGUCCUGGCUGUAGCCCAGCUCAUAUUCUCCUCCCGGGGAUGCCUGGGUCCUGCAGGUCUGGAUCUCUCAGACUCAGACAGGCAGGUGCUGCAGAUGGGACUGCAGUACUACCUACUGCCAGGGCAGCAGUCACUGUGGGAGGGUCUAGUUUCCUCCUUUCCCCUUAGUCCUGUGUGUGCAAUGGAAAGAUACGUUUGCCCGGAAGUCCUCCAGGCAGCCAGAGAGAAGCACGCGCGAUGCGAGGGUUUCAUGGUGUACAACGUGCUGUACAAUGGCAUGGUGGAGUGCAGUAACACCCUGGAAGAUAAGGAGGAUGAGGAUCUGGCUCCCCAGGCUCUGGUGUUUCAACCAUGCAGGGAGCACAUCUACGGAAUCCUGCUCCCAAUACACCCAGACAGCAAUGGAGAUGUCCCAACAGUCAAAGAGUGGUUUGUGUUCCCCAAUAGCCCACUGAAGCAGCCCAACAUAGUCUAUCCUGCACCCCUCACACGCCCAGGUACAGCAUCACCCAGCGUAGAUCUGGAAGACCAACAAAAGAGACUACUGACCACCUGUGGACAACCAGAUCUGAAGGUGUUGUGGUUUGGGCAGGACCCUGAAUCAUCUAGUCUCCGCCUGACUUGCUUCUUGUCAGUGUUUGGCUGUGAGGAGCUGUCAGUGGAGCAGGGCCAACUAGAAGGUUCUCUCCUGGCGGUACUCUGUCUGGUCACCUACAUCACCAAACAGGUGGAGCGCCUCAGUCUGGAGGAUGUAGACGCCUAUCUGAGCCAGGCCGUCUGUCUCAGGUCCAAGAGCCCCACGCAGCUACGACACACUGCAGUUCCUCAUGUGAACUCUCGGGCGAUCCAGCUGGGCUCUCUGUUUGUGCGCGGCCUGACCCAUCUGCUGGAUGCUAACAGUGCCUGCGGUCAGCCCCUGGCCAUGGAGGAGCUGAUGCCCUGGCACACCUUUGACGGCCUGCUCUUUCACUCCAAAUACCUGAUGGCACACACUGGCACACCUCACCACCUGCUGCUGGAGGACAAUGCCUGCUGGCUCUCCACGUUUGUCAGCCUGAGACAGAAGGUUCUAGAGGCCUGCAGAAGGAAGGGUAGAAUUGUCCAGUCCAUCCCCAGACCCAGGACAACACUCCCAGGGCAGCCGGUCACUGACAGACGGCAGCGGGGGGAGAGAAACCCCCAGCAGCACAGAGUCACCCCGCAGCACAGAGACACCCAGCAGCACAGAGACACCCAGCUGCCCGGAGGAGCCACAACAGGGACUGAGCACUCCAGACCGAGAGCCAGAGCCCCCAACCGACAGAGAUACCAGCUAGCCCCCAGGUGGACCCAGUACAAUCACUUUCAGGACCCUGGUUCAGGUCUGCCCUGAGUUAUGGUCAGGGUUGGAGAGAGGGACAGGGGAUCGGAGGGGACAUCAUAAAAGCAGCCAGAGAGGAAAGAGGAUAUGGAGAAAGUUCCACAGAGCCAGUGGUCAGAGAGCAGCAGCUCCUUCCUCUAGAGAGAGUCCCCUCCCAGCCUCACACACUGGAAUGAAAAACACAGGCAGUGUGUGUGACAACAUACACGUUCACAUGUGUGUCAGACUAUAGACUGAGCAGGAAAGACACAGCGUGAUUUAUGACAGGAGGAAGAUGACAAGAAGUUUGUUGAUCAAGCAAUGGUGAGAUCCCGGUGCUCUGUCUGGCGAAGGGGCUCAGAGAUCCUGCUUCCCCACUGCUGUACCAUGGAAGGUAUGCUACCUCACUUUGGACGGGCACAGUACGAAGUUGGAAAGAGUAGCUUUAGUGUCUCACAGUCAGUGUCACAUUAGGCCUCAGUCACAAUGCUGGUGGCUGGAAACGGAACCAUACGGUGGGUCUGUUGGCGUACCUUGGCGGUACAGUGAAGCUAAACAAGCCGUGUUAGCAUGUUAGUCUAUAAAGAGACAUGGAUAAAUGGUAUCAACAACAACAAGAGACGCGGCGGCACGAUGGCUCCCCGGCUUCCACAGCCCCCAAUUAUCCUGGUUAAUUACGGCCUGGCUGCCUGUGUGCUAAUGAUCCCCCUGCCCCGGUCACCUCCGAGGGUCUUUCUCACUCCUCCGUGGUGUGGAACAAUGCCGCAGCGGAUGAAAAGGAUGUAAGGUUAUGUUACUGAGACACCUCUUCAGCUCCUCCCUCUUUCCUUCCCUCCUCCCCUUGCCUCCCUCCCUCCCCCCAACCCUGCUUUCCCCACCCCUUGCACUGUAUGAAUAGGCACUGACUACUGGAACAUAUGCUGCUUGUUCCUCAAUACACACUCAGUGUCUGUGUGUGUGUCUGUGUGUCACUGUGUAAAGAUCAGUGCAUGUGUGUGUGUGUAUCCA